rnacentral:rRNA from 1 species
AGAGUUUGAUCCUGGCUCAGGACGAACGCUGGCGGCGUGCCUAAUACAUGCAAGUAGAACGCUGAAGAGAGGAGCUUGCUCUUCUUGGAUGAGUUGCGAACGGGUGAGUAACGCGUAGGUAACCUGCCUUGUAGCGGGGGAUAACUAUUGGAAACGAUAGCUAAUACCGCAUAACAAUGGGUGACACAUGUCAUUUAUUUGAAAGGGGCAAUUGCUCCACUACAAGAUGGACCUGCGUUGUAUUAGCUAGUAGGUGAGGUAACGGCUCACCUAGGCGACGAUACAUAGCCGACCUGAGAGGGUGAUCGGCCACACUGGGACUGAGACACGGCCCAGACUCCUACGGGAGGCAGCAGUAGGGAAUCUUCGGCAAUGGGGGCAACCCUGACCGAGCAACGCCGCGUGAGUGAAGAAGGUUUUCGGAUCGUAAAGCUCUGUUGUAAGUCAAGAACGAGUGUGAGAGUGGAAAGUUCACACUGUGACGGUAGCUUACCAGAAAGGGACGGCUAACUACGUGCCAGCAGCCGCGGUAAUACGUAGGUCCCGAGCGUUGUCCGGAUUUAUUGGGCGUAAAGCGAGCGCAGGCGGUUAGAUAAGUCUGAAGUUAAAGGCUGUGGCUUAACCAUAGUACGCUUUGGAAACUGUUUAACUUGAGUGCAGAAGGGGAGAGUGGAAUUCCAUGUGUAGCGGUGAAAUGCGUAGAUAUAUGGAGGAACACCGGUGGCGAAAGCGGCUCUCUGGUCUGUAACUGACGCUGAGGCUCGAAAGCGUGGGGAGCGAACAGGAUUAGAUACCCUGGUAGUCCACGCCGUAAACG